rnacentral:rRNA from 1 species
GUAAAGCGUGCGCAGGCGGUUAUGUAAGACAGAUGUGAAAUCCCCGGGCUCAACCUGGGAACUGCAUUAGUGACUGCAUAGCUGGAGUACGGCAGAGGGGGAUGGAAUUCCGCGUGUAGCAGUGAAAUGCGUAGAUAUGCGGAGGAACACCGAUGGCGAAGGCAAUCCCCUGGGCCUGUACUGACGCUCAUGCACGAAAGCGUGGGGAGCAAACAGGAUUAGAUCCCUGU